AUGCAGAAAGAACCUAAUACCAAUUGAUACAUCAUGGUCGUUGCCAAUGAAGUUAGAUGGCGAGUUCAAAAUAUGUGAAAAGCGCAUUGUGACGCACACAACAUACAGAGAUUCACGUCAAACUGCAGCUGAUAGUAAUAUAAUAUACAGACGGAUGGGAACAACUAAAACUUCCAUACAAGUUUGAUUGAAUUGAUGCAAAUUCAACACAAGAAACAAAACCCAAGAUCACAAUCUUGCAAGGAAAGAAGAAGGAAAGCCACAUCCAAUCCAAGAUUUCAGAACCAAUUUGACCAAAGCUCAAGACUUUCCAAAUCUUAAGGGGCUAACGAGAGGUGGGGCCCAAACAGCCAUGCAUGGAUAAAGUGCUGUGGAUCAAGAACUUUCAUGGAUGAUAAGAGUGGCCGGGGAAGUAGAAGCGCAGAAGCAGUAAAGGGAGGCGGACUUUGGAAGCUUAUUGAAUAAGUUAAAAGAGAGGAGGGUUGCAUUGCACCAGUAUA
rnacentral:sRNA from 1 species